rnacentral:rRNA from 1 species
UAGGGAAUCUUCCACAAUGGGCGCAAGCCUGAUGCAGCGACGCCGCGUGAGUGAAGAAGUAAUUCGUUACGUAAAGCUCUAUCAGCAGGGAAGAAAAAGAAAUGACGGUACCUGAGUAAGAAGCCCCGGCUAACUACGUGCCAGCAGCCGCGGUAAUACGUAGGGGGCAAGCGUUAUCCGGAUUUACUGGGUGUAAAGGGAGCGUAGACGGCAGCGCAAGUCUGAAGUGAAAUCCCGGGGCUCAACCCCGGAACUGCUUUGGAAACUGUGCAGCUGGAGUGCAGGAGAGGUAAGCGGAAUUCCUAGUGUAGCGGUGAAAUGCGUAGAUAUUAGGAGGAACACCGGUGGCGAAGGCGGCUUACUGGACUGUAACUGACGUUGAGGCUCGAAAGCGUGGGGAGCAAACAGG